GAUGAAGAAGGCAGCGAAAUGCGAUAAGUUGUGUGAAUUGCAGAAUUCAGUGAAUCAUCGAAUCUUUGAACGCACAUUGCGCCCUUUGGUAUUCCAAAGGGCAUGCCUGUUCGAGCGUCAUUUGUACCCUCAAGCUUUGCUUGGUGUUGGGCGUCUUGUCUCUAGCUUUGCUGGAGACUCGCCUUAAAGUAAUUGGCAGCCGGCCUACUGGUUUCGGAGCGCAGCACAAGUCGCACUCUCUAUCAGCAAAGGUCUAGCAUCCACUAAGCCUUUUUUUCAACUUUUGACCUCGGAUCAGGUAGGGAUACCCGCUGAACUUAAGCAUAUCAAUAAGCGGAGCA
rnacentral:misc_RNA from 1 species